UUAUCUGCGAUUCAAUCCUUGUAUAAUGACCUAAAAUGUACCGUUCGUAUCAAUAGUGACCAGACCCCUUGGUUCAGUGUAGAUGCCGGUGUGAAGCAGGGCUGUAUCCUAUCGCCCACUUUGUUUUCAGUAUAUAUCAAUACUUUGGCAGAUCGUAUAAACUCUCUAGAAUGUGGAGUGCAUAUUGAUGAUUUUCAUCUCAGUUUAUUGCUCUACGCGGACGAUAUAGCGCUAAUAGCUCCAGGUAAAGAAAGUCUACAACGUAUGUUAAAUGUAGUAACCGAAUGGUGCGCUGAUGGAAGUUAUCCGUAAACAUUGGCAAAACUAAAAUUGUCCAUUUCCGUCCACAGUCAUCCAUACGUUCAGAUUUUACGUU
rnacentral:lncRNA from 1 species